rnacentral:lncRNA from 1 species
GGGUGGUGCUGAAUUGCCUUCUUUGUUUUUCUGUAAAUACUUCUAUUUGUCUUGAUGUUCAGUUUUUAAUGUGCCUAUUUCUGGAUAUGGAAUUCAGGGGUGACAGUCACCUCCAAUCAACUCUUUACAUAUAUAAUCAUGGUCUUCAGACCUCAUUAUUUGUAUUAAGAAAUCACUAAAAUUUGGAGCCAGCGUUGUUGUGAGGCAGAUAAAGCCGCUGCUGCAGCACUGGUAUCCCAUGUGGAUACCAGAUCCUGUCCCAGCUGCUCCACUUCCAAUCCAGCUCCCUGCUAAUGUGCCUGGGAAAACAGAGGUGGCCCACGUGCUUGGGCCCCUGCACCCACGUGGGAGACCCAGAAGAAGCUCCUGGCUCCUGGCUUCAGUCUGCCCCAGCCCUGGCUGUUGUGACCAUCUGGGGAGUGAACCAGCAAAUGGAAGACUCUCUCUCUCUAUCUCUCUAUCUCUAUCUCUAUCUCUAUCUCUAUCUCUAUCUCUAUCUCUAUCUCUAUCUCUCCCCCUCCACUGAUGGUUUGGUGUUGCAAGUUCCCCCUGUACCUGUCUUGCAAGGGGACAGCAGAGAUUCUUUAAUCUACAAUUCCUGCUCUUUGGUCAACUUUAGAUAUUCCUCAGCUGUGUUUUUGUUUUUCAAAUAUUUCUCCACCACAUUUCCUACCUUGAAUACCUUCUUUAAAAAGUGCAGCUUAGAGAAAUUUAGGACAGCUUUAAGGUAUCAGGGGGCACAGUUUCCAGCUCCCCCACACUGGGUUUCGUUUCUUUUCUUUUUCUUUUUUUUAAGCUUUAUUUAUUUUAGAGGUGGAGUUAUAGACAGAGAGAAGGAGAGACAGAGAGAAGAUCUUCCAUCUUCACUCCCCAAGUGGCCACAACGGCUGGAGCUGGGUCGAUCUGAAGCCAGGAGCCAGGAGCUUCUUCCAGGUCUCCCGCGUGGGUGCAGGGGCCCAAGCACUUGGGCCAUCCUCUACUGCUUCCCCAGGCCACAGCAGAGAGCUGGGUUGGAAGUGGAGCAGCCGGGACUUGAACUGGCUCCCAUAUGCAAUGCCAGCACUGCAGGCAGAGGCUUAGCCAACUAACCACAGCGCUGGCCCCGAGUUUGUUUCAUCGUUAACAUUGCACAGAAACGUGGAACCUGUUUCACCGCUAACAGCCAGGCCGAUGCGUCUGGGAAUUGCCAGUGU